rnacentral:tRNA from 1 species
AGGCGAGGGACCUGCUAGGAAGUGCGCGCGCUUCGUUUACACCGAAGAUGUCGGCGGUUCGAGCCCGUCAUCGCCCACCA